rnacentral:rRNA from 1 species
UUGGGGCGGGUUCACAGGUGGUGCAUGGUUGUCGUCAGCUCGUGUCGAGAGAUGUUGGGUUAAGUCCCGCAACGAGCGCAACCCUCGUUCCAUGUUGCCAGCACGUAAUGGUGGGGACUCAUGGGAGACUGCCGGGGUCAACUCGGAGGAAGGUGAGGACGACGUCAAAUCAUCAUGCCCCUUAUGUCUUGGGCUUCACGCAUGCUACAAUGGCCGGUACAAUGGGUUGCGAUACUGUGAGGUGGAGCUAAUCCCAAAAAGCCGGUCUCAGUUCGGAUUGGGGUCUGCAACUCGACCCCAUGAAGUCGGAGUCGCUAGUAAUCGCAGAUCAGCAACGCUGCGGUGAAUACGUUC